rnacentral:rRNA from 1 species
AAUAUUGCACAAUGGAGGAAACUCUGAUGCAGCGACGCCGCGUGAGCGAUUAAGGCUUUCGAGUCGUAAAGACCUGUCUUAGGGGACGAUAAUGACGGUACCAUGGGCGGAAGCCCCGGCUACGUACGUGCCGGCAGCCGCGGUAAUACGUAGGGGGCGAGCGUUGUCCGGAAUUAUUGGGCGUAAAGGGUUCGCCGGCGGCCUGUUAAGUCAGAUGUGAAAGCCCACGGCUUAACCGUGGUAAGCAUUUGAAACUGGAAGGCUUGAGUUAAGGAGAGGAAAGUGGAAUUCCUAGUGUAGCGGUGAAAUGCGUAGAUAUUAGGAGGAAUACCAGUGGCGAAGGCGACUUUCUGGACUUAUACUGACGCUGAGGAACGAAAGCGUGGGGAGCAAACA